rnacentral:rRNA from 1 species
GUUAAGCGACUAAGCGUACACGGUGGAUGCCCUGGCAGUCAGAGGCGAUGAAGGACGUGCUAAUCUGCGAUAAGCGUCGGUAAGGUGAUAUGAACCGUUAUAACCGGCGAUUUCCGAAUGGGGAAACCCAGUGUGAUUCGUCACACUAUCAUUAACUGAAUCCAUAGGUUAAUGAGGCGAACCGGGGGAACUGAAACAUCUAAGUACCCCGAGGAAAAGAAAUCAACCGAGAUUCCCCCAGUAGCGGCGAGCGAACGGGGAGCAGCCCAGAGCCUGAAUCAGUGUGUGUGUUAGUGGAAGUGUCUGGAAAGGCGCGCGAUACAGGGUGACAGCCCCGUACACAAAAAUGCACAUACUGUGAGCUCGAUGAGUAGGGCGGGACACGUGGUAUCCUGUCUGAAUAUGGGGGGACCAUCCUCCAAGGCUAAAUACUCCUGACUGACCGAUAGUGAACCAGUACCGUGAGGGAAAGGCGAAAAGAACCCCGGCGAGGGGAGUGAAAAAGAACCUGAAACCGUGUACGUACAAGCAGUGGGAGCACGCUUCGGCGUGUGACUGCGUACCUUUUGUAUAAUGGGUCAGCGACUUAUAUUCUGUAGCAAGGUUAACCGAAUAGGGGAGCCGAAGGGAAACCGAGUCUUAACUGGGCGUUAAGUUGCAGGGUAUAGACCCGAAACCCGGUGAUCUAGCCAUGGGCAGGUUGAAGGUUGGGUAACACUAACUGGAGGACCGAACCGACUAAUGUUGAAAAAUUAGCGGAUGACUUGUGGCUGGGGGUGAAAGGCCAAUCAAACCGGGAGAUAGCUGGUUCUCCCCGAAAGCUAUUUAGGUAGCGCCUCGUGAAUUCAUCUCCGGGGGUAGAGCACUGUUUCGGCAAGGGGGUCAUCCCGACUUACCAACCCGAUGCAAACU